GCAUGGAUUUGGAUUUAUGGCAGGCUAGUCCCCAUGGGCCUCUCAUAGUGUCCCAUGCUAGAGCAAACUGUGGCUCCUAACCAUUGCCCAGCCUCCAUGCCUAUAGGCUACAGGCACUGAAGUACGUCACACAGUG
rnacentral:snoRNA from 7 species